ACGAAAAAUAACGAUACGGGACUCAUCCGAGGCCCCGUAAUCGGAAUGAGUACACUCUAAAUCCUUUAACGAGGAUCAAUUGGAGGGCAAGUCUGGUGCCAGCAGCCGCGGUAAUUCCAGCUCCAAUAGCGUAUAUUAAAGUUGUUGCGGUUAAAAAGCUCGUAGUCGAACUUGUGUCCCGCGCCGCCGGUUCAUCGCUCGCGGUGUCAACUGGCGUGUCCGCGGGACGUCCUGCCGGUGGGCUUAGCUCCUCGCGGGGGGCGGCCCAAUUUCAAUCCCACCGCGGUGCUCUUCGCUGAGUGUCGAGGCGGGCCGGCACGUUUACUUUGAACAAAUUAGAGUGCUUAAAGCAGGCUAAAACCUCGCCUGAAUACUGUGUGCAUGGAAUAAUGGAAUAGGACCUCGGUUCUAUUUUGUUGGUUUUCGGAACCCCGAGGUAAUGAUUAAUAGGAACGGAUGGGGGCAUUCGUAUUGCGACGUUAGAGGUGAAAUUCUUGGAUCGUCGCAAGACGGACAGAAGCGAAAGCAUUUGCCAAAAACGUUUUCAUUGAUCAAGAACGAAAGUUAGAGGUUCGAAGGCGAUCAGAUACCGCCCUAGUUCUAACCAUAAACGAUGCCAGCUAGCGAUCCGCCGACGUUCCUCCGAUGACUCGGCGGGCAGCUUCCGGGAAACCAAAGCUUUUGGGUUCCGGGGGAAGUAUGGUUGCAAAGCUGAAACUUAAAGGAAUUGACGGAAGGGCACCACCAGGAGUGGAGCCUGCGGCUUAAUUUGACUCAACACGGGAAACCUCACCAGGCCCGGACACC
rnacentral:rRNA from 1 species